rnacentral:rRNA from 1 species
UACGUAGGGCGCAAGCGUUGUCCGGAAUUAUUGGGCGUAAAGAGCUCGUAGGCGGCUUGUCACGUCGAUUGUGAAAGCCCGAGGCUUAACCUCGGGUCUGCAGUCGAUACGGGCUAGCUAGAGUGUGGUAGGGGGAGAUCGGAAUUCCUGGUGUAGCGGUGAAAUGCGCAGAUAUCAGGAGGAACACCGGUGGCGAAGGCGGAUCUCUGGGCCAUUACUGACGCUGAGGCGCGACAGCGUGGGGAGCAAACAGG